rfam:Ictidomys tridecemlineatus contig097640, whole genome shotgun sequence.
GGGGUUGUAGCUCAGUGGUAGAGCACUUGCCUAGUACACGUGAAGCACUGGGUUCAAUCCUCAGCACCA